rnacentral:rRNA from 1 species
CCUACGGGAGGCAGCAGUAGGGAAUCUUGCGCAAUGGGCGAAAGCCUGACGCAGCGACGCCGCGUGCGGGAAGAAGGCCUUCGGGUUGUAAACCGCUUUUAGGAGGGACGAAGCCACUCGGGUUAAUAGCCCAGAGGGUGACGGUACCUCCAGAAGAAGCCCCGGCUAACUACGUGCCAGCAGCCGCGGUAAU